AAUCUGCCACAAUGGACGAAAGUCUGAUGGAGUAACGCCGCGUGAGUGAAGAAGGAUUUCGGUUCAUAAAACCCUGUUGCGAGGGAAGAACAAGUACGAAGUAACUACUCGUACCUUGACGGUACUCCGUUAUAAAGCGACGGCUAACUACGUGCCAGCAGCCGCGGUAAUACGUAGGCGGCAAGCGUUGUCCGGAAUUAUUGGGCGUAAAGCGCGCGCAGGCGGUCCUUUAAGUCUGAUGUGAAAGCCCACGGCUUAACCGUGGAGGGUCAUUGGAAACUGGGGGACUUGAGUGCAGAAGAGGAAAGUGGAAUUCCAAGUGUAGCGGUGAAAUGCGUAGAGAUUUGGAGGAACACCAGUGGCGAAGGCGACUUUCUGGUCUGUAACUGACGCUGAGGCGCGAAAGCGUGGGGAGCAAACA
rnacentral:rRNA from 1 species